rnacentral:tRNA from 1 species
GGAAGGGUCGCUCAGCGGCAGAGCACCGUGGUCCCAUCGGGAACUGCGGCGGCACUUGUGCCUCGUGGCGUUCGAAUCCCACCCCUUCCG